rnacentral:lncRNA from 1 species
CUCUAAUGUCUGACCAAAGUACUGCUGUCUGAGACAUUGGAGGCAUACUGUGCUCCUCUUCUUCCCUCCCUGUGGAGAAGCCUUAAGUUACAUGCCUUCAUCCAGUCUUGCAGAGUUGUGUCUAAUGCAGCAAGAUGCCUGCCUGUUUUCUUUGUUCCUAGCUGUCUCCAGGCAUCCAAACUAUGCCUGUUCCAUCAGUACUAAGGGUGAGGUGAGAGAGAAACUAGUUCCUUGGAUAACACACCAAAUGGCCAGAAUGUUGAAGGCAUAUUUCACUCCUCUUCUUUCUUCCUUGUCGAGAAGCCUCAGGUUCUGCACCUUCUCCGCUUUCUUGCACAGCCAUGUUGGAUGCAGGAGAUGUUACAAGACAAGAUGAUUUCACUGGAAGCUGAGUUUUGCCAGCUUUGGGGAAAUGCUGAUGCAGGUAAAGCGAAAUUUCUCUUCUUACCAAUUUCAAUGUAGCUGUUAUUAAUUUUGUGGUUGUCCAGGCUACUGCAACUUCUUAACAAAAUUCUGGACUUCUUAAAAGGGUAUUUUGGUUUGUAUAUUAUUUUUAAAUC